AGAGACUCGAUGCUAGAUUAUUGUUAUCAGUCAUGAUCGCCCCGUCCGUCUGUGUCCGUUUUUCUACCUGGAUCGUCUAACUCGUCACUGGAUACCUGGACAUCACCAUCUUCCCCAUGCCUGAGGGGGCUGGACAGGCACCCCAAGGGAUUCCGGCGCCUUUGCUCAAGGGCACCUUGGCAGUGCCUUGGACGUGAACUGGCACCUCUCCAGCUACCAGUCCACACUUGACACGCACACUCACUGUGUCUAUCAUGGUUGGGCUGCAGACCCUGACCACCCCUGAGAUCGCUGGAUUAGGAAUGAUGACCAACAAUGCCACACACACACACACACACACACACACACACACACACACACACACACACACACACAUGUAAACGCAUUGACAAACUAAUAUCUGUGGUAUGCUGUCUUGUUUUCCAUUUACAUUCUUUUUGUUUUCAAUUACUUAAUUCAAUUAAUAAGUAAUGUCUGUCAUACUUGUAAAUUAUCACUUGUUUAAUUUUGAUGAAUUCAUGUGCUAGUUUGAAUGCAUAUACAGUAUA